CUAGCGACUUCUAGAGUUUGAUCCUGGCGUCAGGACGAACGCUGGCGGCGUGCCUACACAUGCAAGUCAACGGGGUGAUUCCUUCGGGGAUCACUUAGUGGCGAACGGGUGAGUAACGCGUGAGAAACCUGCCUUUCAGUGGGGGACAACAGUUGGAAACGACUGCUAAUACCGCAUAAUGUUAUUUGGGGGCAUCCCUGAAUAACCAAAGAUUUAUUGCUGAAAGAUGGUCUCGCGUCUGAUUAGCUAGUUGGUGAGGUAACGGCUCACCAAGGCGACGAUCAGUAGCCGGUCUGAGAGGAUGAACGGCCACAUUGGGACUGAGAUACGGCCCAG
rnacentral:rRNA from 1 species